rnacentral:rRNA from 1 species
AGCAGUAUUGAACUGAAGAGUUUGAUCAUGGCUCAGAUUGAACGCUGGCGGCAGGCCUAACACAUGCAAGUCGAGCGGAUGAGAAGAGCUUGCUCUUCGAUUCA